AACGAACGCUGGCGGCAGGCUUAACACAUGCAAGUCGAACGCCCCGCAAGGGGAGUGGCAGACGGGUGAGUAACGCGUGGGAAUCUACCCAGAUCUUCGGAACAACUGAGGGAAACUUCAGCUAAUACCGGAUACGCCCUACGGGGGAAAGAUUUAUCGGUUCUGGAUGAGCCCGCGUUGGAUUAGCUAGUUGGUGAGGUAAAGGCUCACCAAGGCGACGAUCCAUAGCUGGUCUGAGAGGAUGAUCAGCCACACUGGGACUGAGACACGGCCCAGACUCCUACGGGAGGCAGCAGUGGGGAAUAUUGGACAAUGGGCGAAAGCCUGAUCCAGCCAUGCCGCGUGAGUGAUGAAGGCCUUAGGGUUGUAAAGCUCUUUCAGUGGGGAAGAUAAUGACGGUACCCACAGAAGAAGCCCCGGCUAACUUCGUGCCAGCCGCCGCGGUAA
rnacentral:rRNA from 1 species